rnacentral:rRNA from 1 species
UGGGGAAUUUUGGACAAUUGGGCGAAAGCCUGAUCCAGCAAUGCCGCGUGUGUGAAGAAGGCCUUCGGGUUGUAAAGCACUUUUGUCCGGAAAGAAAUCCUUGGCUCUAAUACAGUCGGGGGAUGACGGUACCGGAAGAAUAAGCACCGGCUAACUACGUGCCAGCAGCCGCGGUAAUACGUAGGGUGCAAGCGUUAAUCGGAAUUACUGGGCGUAAAGCGUGCGCAGGCGGUUUGCUAAGACCGAUGUGAAAUCCCCGGGCUCAACCUGGGAACUGCAUUGGUGACUGGCAGGCUAGAGUAUGGCAGAGGGGGGUAGAAUUCCACGUGUAGCAGUGAAAUGCGUAGAGAUGUGGAGGAAUACCGAUGGCGAAGGCAGCCCCCUGGGCCAAUACUGACGCUCAUGCACGAAAGCGUGGGGGAGCAAACAGGAUUAGAUACCCUGGUAGUCCACGCCCUAAACGAUGUCAACUAGUUGUUGGGGAUUCAUUUCCUUAGUAACGUAGCUAACGCGUGAAGUUGACCGCCUGGGGAGUACGGUCGCAAGAUUAAAACUCAAAGGAAUUGACGGGGUCAUAGCUGUUUCCU